CAGGCAUGCUCUUCUCACAGGGGAUCUCAGAACCUCAAGCAGCAAGCAGAAAUACUCUGUGGCCUGGGACUGGCACUUGUUAUUUCUGCUGUCAAACCUUUGUCCAAAAAGUUCAUGUUGCCAAACCCAACUUCAAUGAAGCCAGUCAUGGAUAUGAAACUAGAGGUGGAGUGACCAUACUUUAACCAUAAGGUGAUCACAGCAAGGAAAACCAGAUGCAAAGAAUUGGGACAUAGAAUGGAAGAAGGCACAUGAACACUGAUAACACAUGGAACUCUGACUCAGCUGGCAUACUCACUUCUGGAGUUUUUGUUUUGUCACUAUCUUGUUGAUAAAGCGUCAGUACCUUUGCACCAACUAUCAAGUAAUUUACAAACUCCUUAGUGUGGUAAUUAAGAUGUUCCAAAGCUGUCUCUAAACUUCUAAUCUUUCAUCUCAUGAUUAUUCUUUGAUUUACCACUAACUGGCCACCCAAGAUCUAUUCUUCAUCCUUCUCUGCCCUGCUCUGUGCCCUACCUAGAGGGUGAUGCUGGUAGCCCAAGUUACCCAGAACCCCUUGCUUGUUAGCUGCUUGUUAAGUUUGGCCAAUGGGAUGCACUGGCAUAAGGAAGCAAGAGUGGGAAGAGAAAAAUUUCAGGAUAUUUCUUCCCACUGCCCUGCUUUGGUGCUUCCCUUCUGGCAAUGGCCACUUGCUUCCUGACCUGAGCUACUACCAGGUAGCUCCUCCUCCAGGGCUCCAAAUCUCACUGGGUCUUCAACAUGAUUUCUUCCCCUUACCCCUUAAGCCCUAGAGUGAUAAUGGCUCUCCAUUGCUGCCAAUAUCUAGGUGCCUUAACAUCUCUAUUUUAUUCUUAUAACCCUGUCCAAUCUCUAUACAUGGUCCUUGAAUUCUAGUGCCUUCACAAGAACCAUCUGCAGUGAAUUAUUUCCAGCUGGCAUCUGACUAAUACAGUAAAACCUCUCCUGGCACAUGCAUUUGGGCUUGUAUUUCAGCAACUUUUCUCAUAAUCCUCCCUUUGCUUGAAAUCCCUGUCCUCCCAUCUCUGUGUCUAGUUGUCCUUCAAGGCCUUCUCAAAACACCACUCCUCCCAAGUAGCCUUCCUUAAUCCCCACAACAUGGGAAAUCUCUUUUUCCUUGAACUCACUCAGCACAUACUUGAUAGUAAUUAUAUUUUUCUGGUUUAAAUUAUAGUGACUUAUGUACAUGCAACUCUGGCCAGUUGGUAAACACUUUGAAGUCUGAACUCACAUCCAGGUCUGAUUUGUUUUUGUUUUUGUUUUUCUUCUUUUUGCUUCUUCCCAAACUUUGCUUCUCUCUCCCAAAAGCUUGGCACCAAAUGGGUACUGUCUCAUUCAUUUGUAUUACUACUUAUUACUACUUACCACUUAUUACUGCUUCUUAUUAGUACUACAAGAGAUAACAGUUACAGUGAACACUUUAUCAAAAAAUAGAAAAUGAUGGAACAGACUAAAAUUUUCCUUUUGGUGACAACA
rnacentral:lncRNA from 10 species